rnacentral:sRNA from 1 species
AGUGAAUCAUCGAAUCUUUGAACGCACCUUGCGCCCUUUGGACAUUCCGAAGGGCAUGCCUGUUUGAGUAUCAUGAACACCUCAACUCUUCAUGGUUUUCCAUGAUGAGCUUGGACUUUGGGGGGUUUUGCUGGCCUACAGUCAGCUCCUCUAAAAUAAAUCAGCUCGCCAGUGUUUGGUGGGUAUCGCAGGUGUGAUAACUAUCUACGCUUGUGGUUUUCCACCAGGUAACCUUCAGCAGUGGAGGUUCACUGGAGCUCACAGAUGUGUCUCUCCUCAGUGAGGACAGCCCUUUGAAUGUUUGAUCUCAAAUCAGGUAGGACUACCCGCUGAACUUAAGCAUAUCAAUAAGCGGAGGAAA